AGCGAACGCUGGCGGCGUGCUUAACACAUGCAAGUCGAGUGCGUAGCCCUUUGUAGCAAUACAGAGGGUGGGCGCACGGCGCACGGGUGAGUAACACGUGGGUAACCUGCCCUUCGGUGGGAAUAACCCGCGAAGCGGGGCUAAUUCCGCAUAACAUUCCGGGGACACAUGUUCUCGGACUCAAAGGAGUGAUUCGCCGGAGGAGGGGCCCGCGCCCGAUUAGCUUGUUGGUAGGGUAACGGCCACCAAGGCUUUGAUCGGUAGCCGGUCUGAGAGGAUGGCCGGCCACACUGGAACUGAGACACGGUCCAGACUCCUACGGGAGGCAGCAGUGGGGAAUCUUGCGCAAUGGGCGAAAGCCUGACGCAGCGACGCCGCGUGGGGAGUGAAGCUUCUCGGA
rnacentral:rRNA from 1 species